UCUCUUUCUUUUUUGAUUGCCUA
rnacentral:snRNA from 1 species